CAUCUCCGCAGGCUGUCCGGCCCCCACGCUGGGCUGGGCGAGUAUCUCUUCAAAGGCUCACCCUCAAGCACGACUAGAAGC
rnacentral:pre_miRNA from 1 species